UAUUUUGUUAUGUUCCUCACUGAGUAUAUUUUCAAUAUGCUCACCCCUUAUUUUCUCAGUUUUGCAGUUCUGGAGUCGAGGUGGCCAUGGAAGUCGAGAAUGACUAGAGAUUUAGUAUUUCCAUAGAAAUUUAAGUUGAAACAUGUUACUUUUUUAGUUUAUCAUUUUAUUUCAUGUUACUACUUUAGUUUUGACAAGUUGAUUUCAAAUUGAUUUAAACUUUUAUAAUUCAAGAAAUUUUAUUUUUAUCUAUUAGUUUUCAAAGAUUUUAUAUUGAAAAGUUUAUGAAAAUUGGGGUGUUACAUAGUGGUAUCAGAGCGGGUCUACGUUCCUGUAGACUCGUGCCCAAAAAAAAAUGUUUUGCUUUCAAAAAGGUUUAAGUAAGCUUAAAAGGUUAGAUAAGCCUAGUCAUUCGAAACUCAUGGGCUGCAUCGACUCCAAGGUAUGUGUUUUAAUUGCUUAAGUAUACGACCGUUAGGAUGUUUUACAUGACUUUUUUUUAUGAUGCCUUUAUGUUCUAGUACUAUUAUGUUUAGCUUCGUUAGAAAUAGUUGAAAUUGUGAAAUUGUUAGAUGGUACGGACACGUCAAACUCCCACUAGAGCUCAAGUACCCUACAAGCACGAAUUGAGAAAUUGCGCGAAGAAUAUAUGAAAGAUUAAGUGAACGUUGUGAAUUCUUGCGUGUACAAUGCGAGAGAUACGAAAGGAUUAGGAGGCUGCAAUCGGUGUACGACUGCUAUACAUGGAGUAGCGACUACGGGUUCGUGGAACACGUGCGAAGGAUGAAGUUACCUCACCAUAGAACUAGAUUAUAUGGCUCAAGAAUCGUGACUAGAAUUUCGAGGACGAAAUUAUUUUAAGUGGGGUAGGUUGUAACACCCCGAUAAUUUAGAUUUAUUUUAUAAGUUUAAUUAAUAGUAUUUUCUUGUAUAGCUUAUUUUUUUAAAUAAUUACAUGAUACAUAUAGAUAUGCACCAUUAAUUUUAUCUAGACUAUUAUUAUUAUUAUUAUUAUUAUUAUUAUUAUUAUUAUUAUUAUUAGUUAUUAUUAUUUAUUAUUUAUUAUUAUUNAAUAUUUAUUAAUAAUAAGUUUUUUUAUUUAAUUAUGCAGAUAUUAGUUAUGUCCUUAGAAUAUUUAAUUAUCGAUAUUUUAUAUAUUUAUAAGUUUUUAUUUAGGAUUUUAUAUUAGGAUUGUUUGAAUUUUAUGUGAUUAGGUGCGGCGCAUUUAAGACCUUCAUUCCGGAUUUGAGUUAAUUGCCUACGACUUUAAGGUGAGGGAUUUUACGCUUAUUCAUAUGGUUAUAUAUAUUUUUAUUAUCGCGUUUGAUUACUUGUUUACGUGCAUCUUAUGACUAUGUUGUUACGUGUGAUCAUGGGACCUAAGCCAUUGAUCUAUGUUGUUACGUGUGUAUCAUGGGACCUAAGCCAUUGACUAUGUUGUUAUGUGUGAUCAUGGGAUCUAAGCCAUUGAUCUAUUAUGUUAUGUGCGAUCAUGGGACCUAAGCCAUUGAUCUAUGUUAUGUGCGAUCAUGGGACCUAAGCCAUUGAUCUAUGUUAUGUGUGAUCAUGGGCCUAAGCCAUUGAUCUAUGUUAUGUGUGAUCAUGGGACCUAAGCCAUUGAUCGAUCAUGGGACCUAAGCCAUUGAUUUAUGUAUGUGUUUGGUCAUGGGACUUAAGCCAUCGACUCAAAAUAUGAUUAUGUUUGUCAAGGGGCUCUAGUCUCUUGGCGUAUGUUUGCAAGUAUGAUAAUGUGAUUUAUUUAUAUAUGUGACAUAUAUGAAUAUUUUGUUAUGUUCCUCACUGAGUAUAUUUUCAAUAUGCUCACCCUUUUUUUUCUCAGUUUUGCAGUUCUGGAGUCGAGGUGGCCAUGGAAGUCGAGAAUGACUAGAGAUUUAGUAUUUCCAUAGAAAUUUAAGUUGAAACAUGUUACUUUUUUUAGUUUAUCAUUUUAUUUCAUGUUACUACUUUAGUUUUGACAAGUUGAUUUCAAAUUGAUUUAAACUUUUAUAAUUCAAGAAAAU
rnacentral:lncRNA from 1 species